AUACGGAGGGUCCGAGCGUUAUCCGGAAUCAUUGGGUUUAAAGGGUCCGUAGGCGGGAAUCUAAGUCAGUGGUGAAAUCUUGCAGCUCAACUGUAAAAUUGCCAUUGAUACUGGAUUUCUUGAAUUAGUGUGAAGUGGUUAGAAUGUGUAGUGUAGCGGUGAAAUGCAUAGAUAUUAUACAGAAUACCAAUUGCGAAGGCAGAUCACUAACACUAUAUUGACGCUGAGGGACGAAAGCGUGGGGAGCGAACAGGAUUAGAUACCCGGGUAGUCC
rnacentral:rRNA from 1 species